CAUUAAACCGGGCCUGGUGCAAGAGAAAACGGAUGUGUACAGAACAUUCUUGCUGGGAAUCCUCCCAGCGGCCCUCAGUCACCGUGACGUUGACAACGAUCAUUUGGUUCAGCUAUGAUGAACAGCAGCCAAGAGUCUGCCGGGUGCCAGGAUACCACGCAGGCUGCAAACGAUCAGUUCAGAGACUUCAGAAGUGGCGUGGGAAGUAUUUCUAGAACCUUCCGUGUCAUGGAUGAGAAACCCCCUUGCCAACAAGGGGGCGAGGAACGAAACAGAUGACUUGCAACAUUGUAGCUGAGUGGGAAAAUCGGUGUCUGGAGGAGUUCAUCAGAAACGUCAUAGAAACUCGAGCUUUGUUAAACCUAACAGCAGCAUCUUCUAAAGCAAGAGAGGAGACUUCAUCAUCAACAGUAGGGCAGACCUUUGCAGUGAGACAACUGUUCGGAAUCUCCACAUUCCUCUACCUAACUCCUUAUCCACGAUGUGUAAGCUUCUGGAAUCCUGAAUCCUGUGCAUAUAACAAGAAUCCAGACACGAGCUGAUCCAGGCUUGGCAAGAACCAUGCAUGGUUCAGAGCCUUGGACUGCCUCCAGGCUUCCUGGUGUCCUAGAACUGGACAUGUUCCAUCUGGCCAGCAAACUCAAGCAGGCUGCAUGAGGCAACAAGAGGAGAUGAUUUUCUCUCCUGCUCCUUCAGUCAUCUCUCUUCCCUCCUAUUGACAUGCAACAAUGUGAAGACGUGUGUUACUCUUAUAACAGUCCAGCAGGCUCUUCAGAAAGCAAGAAGCGUGUGUGGAAAGGAUUCCAGUAGAGUCGAGUUCUGCAAGAAGUCUGUCUAGUCUCUACUCACCUGGUUCUAGAAAGCACAUACACAGGAAGCUCUGAUAGUUCCACCAAGCACAGGAGUGAGCUGCAUCAAAGAGCGCUGCAAAGCCUUUGGCAGCCCAGCCUGGCCCCAGAGCCUGACCCCACAGCUGCUCUUAGAGCUUGUAUCCAAGCCCCAUACCAGCCUGUCUUACUACACCCACAGCCUGUCUUAAUAUACCCACAGUCUCUUCCAGAGCCUGAUCCAGCUCACAUCCACAGCCUUCCUUAACAUACCCACAGUCGCUGCUCCCAGACCUGACCCUACCUUCUGCAUCCAUAACAUGCCCCCAGAGUCAACACCUGCAAGCCUGCACUUUCAAGAGACUGCAGGCUCAUUCCCUGCUCCCUGCUGCCAGCAUGGGGUGGGGUGCUCCAACUGCCUCUGCUCAGACUGGGGUUAAUGACAUCAAAGUGAGCAGCUCUCUGAAACAGUUUGUGGGAAUCACUUCUCAGUGGUAUCCCAUCACCUAUCUGAAGAUCUACUUGUGCUGGCCAAAGAGAGGGGUGUUCCAUGUAGAUAGUUAGCUGCCCCUAUGUCCCUGAGCACAUGGCAUCUCCCUCCUGGUAAGGACCCACCAGGCACUUUAUAGUGAGCUCUUUGCUUCCUAUCCUGGGUCUGAUAAACGCUAAAGAACAAGGUGUCCUAGGCAACAGGCACAUGCUCACCGUGCCGUACACCCACCAGCAGACAGCAAUGCCACUCAGCUCAUCACAGAUACUGUGGCUGGUGGGAGGGUGAACUUGACAUUUCAGAAUGUUCAGAUUUCAGACAGCCCUGCAAUGACCAACUCUUCCUCACAGGGCGACCAAUCCAGCGGUCUCUGAUUGCAAGGGAGGGAAUCGUGCCUGCCUGCACUGGGAAACUUGACAUUGCCUCAUACACUGGUCUGUGUGUUUAUAACAUUAGCAUGUUUAUCACAUGUACUGGCCUGUGUAGAUCUUUAGCUAUCAUCAGUACAAGUCAGAAGAGAAUGUGCCAUGACCUUAGAGAACACGCCAUGACCUUACUGACCUCCAGAAAUGGGUCUAAUGUGCCAUCAUCACCCAAAAAGAACAAAAUAGUGGAAAGUCAGGUUAAUAAAAAAGUCCUACCUGAAA